GGGCGGCCUCGUCCACCUCGGAAUCCCAGGACUUCGCUGCAGCCAAACAUUUAGAGGAAGAGGAGUCGUAUGAUCACUCGUGCUGUGGGGCGGUCCCCACACCCGGCCCAGCCCAGGAAGGGGACGGGGCUGGGGGUGCCCAGGAACCUGCACCACCAUCCAGCUCCCCUGACACCCCCUAGGGAAGGAGGGGGAAGUCUCUGGGGGCUCCCAGUGCCCUCGUGCUGCACAGGGACCAGCGGGGUCCAGAGAGGGCCAGGGGCUCGCCCUGGGUCACACAGCAGCCAAGCCACCCUCCUUAGCGUCCCCUCCUUCCCCUGCCCACUCCUCGCUGUCCCCCCAGCCUCCCCCCCCACCCCCUACCUGCCCACCAGCCGCACACCUGGCAGCUGGGCUCUCCCUUCCGAGCACCGGGCUUCUGUGGGCCGCAGACACACCGCCCUCGGGGCUGGCCUCCCCCCAGAUGUCUCCCCUGCGCUGUCCCUGGUCCCCCGACCUAGGAGCCCCCGCCUGGAAGGUCUCCGGCCGCCGCACACCUCACUGCCCUGACGAUUCCACCCGCCCUGGGGCCCGCUGCUCCUUCCCUUGGUCCGCUGGGACUCAGGCCUGUGCCCCGGCUCCCGAGGACUCCUAUCACCUGCCCUGGACGCCGGCCCUGCAUCCCGUCACUGCCGGUGUGUCUGGGGCGGACAGCUGUCCUUCUGUCUGGCCUCCGACCACCCAGCAUCUGAACCCAGCUGUGAGUCUCGGGGGCCCCGCCUCACUGCCCCCCAGGCCUGCCAGGCUGCCUCCCGGCCUCCCUCAGCCACUCGGAUGCCCCUGCCCAGACUCUGAAGCCAGAGCGGCGGGGCUGGCGGCGCCGUGGGGCACAAGCACGUCCAGUGUGCAGGGUGGUGGCCUAGGUGACCGGUUCCCUUGGCAAGUGUGCAGGAGUGAGGCAGGCCGGGAGCCCCAGGAUGGGCGGGGACAGGCACUGUCCCUGCCCACCCGACGGCAUCGUGCCCUCCCCCUGCUUGGGGAGCCCCAGAGACACUCAGGCUUGUCUGAGCCAAGCUGGGCCGUCCCAUGUCUCCAGACGCCAACGGAGGUCUCCCAAGAAGGGGACGCAGGAAUCGCCACCCGGGCCCUGAGGCCAGGCUGGGCCGCGGGCUCUAGCAGCCCCGGGGCUCCCACUCUGGGUGUGCUGGUGGGCGCGACAGUGGGGUCCCCUGACUGCUUCCCGCUGGCACUCACAGCGGGAGCCUCUCCGCCGCCCCACCUCCCACAGCAGCGCCAACACCCCCUUCCCGGGCCCCAGGGUGGUCUCGCACAGCCUCGGGCCGGAGCCUGGACAGACGCGGGCUCAGGGGACGGACCCACAGCCAGGCCGGGGAGUCAGCCUGCAGGUGCUUCCCAGCUCAGCUGCGUGACCUGGGGCGCAGGAUGGCUCGGGGGGUCAGGGACCUCGGAUGCGGGGAUCCCCCGCUCACCCCAGGCCCGGCAGGCGUGUCCUGCAGACACGGGCCUACUACGUGGGGCUCUGGCGGCCACAUACGGCCUCUGUUACACAUUUUUGUGUUUCUGCCAACCCUUCACAAGUGUGCCAACUGUUCUUACUCUCAGGCUGUGCAAGUGCAGGCCAGAUGCGCCUCGCCCCCGGAAACCCUUCUGGAACGGAUGUGCCACGUUGGGCCCCUGGGACAGUAAGAAGUCCUUCAUGACGGCCCCGCGCAGUCCUGGCCACUCGAGUCCGGGCGUUUCCGAGACCCAUCAGCUGGGGAGGUGGCAACGGGGUAACGACCGUGGACCUGGGCUCAGAUCUUUGCUCUGCUGCUUCCGACACGGCGGCCGCGGGCUCCUUACCUGUGGGAUGGGGAUGACCUGA
rnacentral:lncRNA from 12 species